rnacentral:rRNA from 1 species
UGGGGAAUUUUGGACAAUGGGCGAAAGCCUGAUCCAGCAAUGCCGCGUGUGUGAAGAAGGCCUUCGGGUUGUAAAGCACUUUUGUCCGGAAAGAAAUCCUUGGCUCUAAUACAGUCGGGGGAUGACGGUACCGGAAGAAUAAGCACCGGCUAACUACGUGCCAGCAGCCGCGGUAAUACGUAGGGUGCAAGCGUUAAUCGGAAUUACUGGGCGUAAAGCGUGCGCAGGCGGUUUGCUAAGACCGAUGUGAAAUCCCCGGGCUCAACCUGGGAACUGCAUUGGUGACUGGCAGGCUAGAGUAUGGCAGAGGGGGGUAGAAUUCCACGUGUAGCAGUGAAAUGCGUAGAGAUGUGGAGGAAUACCGAUGGCGAAGGCAGCCCCCUGGGCCAAUACUGACGCUCAUGCACGAAAGCGUGGGGAGCAAACAGGAUUAGAUACCCUGGUAGUCCACGCCCUAAACGAUGUCAACUAGUUGUUAGGGAUUCAUUUCCUUAGUAACGUAGCUAACGCGUGAAGUUGACCGCCUGGGGAGUACGGUCGCAAGAUUAAAACUCAAAGGAAUUGACGGGGUCAUAGCUGUUUCCU